rnacentral:rRNA from 1 species
AAAUUGAAGAGUUUGAUCAUGGCUCAGAUUGAACGCUGGCGGCAGGCCUAACACAUGCAAGUCGAACGGUAACAGGAAGCAGCUUGCUGCUUUGCUGACGAGUGGCGGACGGGUGAGUAAUGUCUGGGAAACUGCCUGAUGGAGGGGGAUAACUACUGGAAACGGUGGCUAAUACCGCAUAACGUCGCAAGACCAAAGAGGGGGACCUUCGGGCCUCUUGCCAUCAGAUGUGCCCAGAUGGGAUUAGCUAGUUGGUGAGGUAACGGCUCACCAAGGCGACGAUCCCUAGCUGGUCUGAGAGGAUGACCAGCCACACUGGAACUGAGACACGGUCCAGACUCCUACGGGAGGCAGCAGUGGGGAAUAUUGCACAAUGGGCGCAAGCCUGAUGCAGCCAUGCCGCGUGUAUGAAGAAGGCCUUCGGGUUGUAAAGUACUUUCAGCGGGGAGGAAGGUGUUGUGGUUAAUAACCGCAGCAAUUGACGUUACCCGCAGAAGAAGCACCGGCUAACUCCGUGCCAGCAGCCGCGGUAAUACGGAGGGUGCAAGCGUUAAUCGGAAUUACUGGGCGUAAAGCGCACGCAGGCGGUCUGUCAAGUCGGAUGUGAAAUCCCCGGGCUCAACCUGGGAACUGCAUUCGAAACUGGCAGGCUUGAGUCUUGUAGAGGGGGGUAGAAUUCCAGGUGUAGCGGUGAAAUGCGUAGAGAUCUGGAGGAAUACCGGUGGCGAAGGCGGCCCCCUGGACAAAGACUGACGCUCAGGUGCGAAAGCGUGGGGAGCAAACAGGAUUAGAUACCCUGGUAGUCCACGCCGUAAACGAUGUCUACUUGGAGGUUGUGCCCUUGAGGCGUGGCUUCCGGAGCUAACGCGUUAAGUAGACCGCCUGGGGAGUACGGCCGCAAGGUUAAAACUCAAAUGAAUUGACGGGGGCCCGCACAAGCGGUGGAGCAUGUGGUUUAAUUCGAUGCAACGCGAAGAACCUUACCUGGUCUUGACAUCCACGGAAGUUUUCAGAGAUGAGAAUGUGCCUUCGGGAACCGUGAGACAGGUGCUGCAUGGCUGUCGUCAGCUCGUGUUGUGAAAUGUUGGGUUAAGUCCCGCAACGAGCGCAACCCUUAUCCUUUGUUGCCAGCGGUCCGGCCGGGAACUCAAAGGAGACUGCCAGUGAUAAACUGGAGGAAGGUGGGGAUGACGUCAAGUCAUCAUGGCCCUUACGACCAGGGCUACACACGUGCUACAAUGGCGCAUACAAAGAGAAGCGACCUCGCGAGAGCAAGCGGACCUCAUAAAGUGCGUCGUAGUCCGGAUUGGAGUCUGCAACUCGACUCCAUGAAGUCGGAAUCGCUAGUAAUCGUGGAUCAGAAUGCCACGGUGAAUACGUUCCCGGGCCUUGUACACACCGCCCGUCACACCAUGGGAGUGGGUUGCAAAAGAAGUAGGUAGCUUAACCUUCGGGAGGGCGCUUACCACUUUGUGAUUCAUGACUGGGGUGAAGUCGUAACAAGGUAACCGUAGGGGAACCUGCGGUUGGA